CUACGGGGGGCACCAGUGGGGAAUAUUGCACAAUGGGGGAAACCCUGAUGCAGCGACGCCGCGUGAGCGAAGAAGUAUUUCGGUAUGUAAAGCUCUAUCAGCAGGGAAGAAAAUGACGGUACCUGACUAAGAAGCUCCGGCUAAAUACGUGCCAGCAGCCGCGGUAAUACGUAUGGAGCAAGCGUUAUCCGGAUUUACUGGGUGUAAAGGGUGCGUAGGCGGCAGGGCAAGUCAGAGGUGAAAGCCCGGGGCUCAACCCCGGGACUGCAUUUGAAACUGCUUUGCUGGAGUGCAGGAGAGGUAAGCGGAAUUCCAAGUGUAGCGGUGAAAUGCGUAGAUAUUAGGAGGAACACCAGUGGCGAAGGCGGCUUACUGGACUGUCACUGACGCUGAGGCACGAAAGCGUGGGGAGCAAACAGGAUUAGAUACCCGAGUAGUC
rnacentral:rRNA from 1 species